UCCCUUGUGGCUCAGAUGUUAAAGAGUCUGCCUGAAAUGCAGGAGAGCCAGGUUCAAUCCCUGGUUUGGGAA
rfam:TPA: Bos taurus chromosome 13, whole genome shotgun sequence.